ACGGGACUGCAAUUUCUCAUAAUGCUGUUCCGCAGAGGAGACUCAAUCCAAGAUGGCUGAUUUCAAAAAGCUUAAGGAACUGCUGGGUCAGAAAUACUCCCAUGGUCAGAAAUGCUCCAAGAGAAGGGAGUAACUCCUUCUCAAAGUUGGGAAAACACCGCGGGGCCACUAGGGGCGCAUCGGAAGAUGGCUGACAAUAACAUCUCUCCGACCCACAGGAGGUAAUUAGGAGGCUGUGAUGGGAGUAAAUAGCCUCCCUACCCCCCCAGGAUUGUGGGGGGGGGGGCUGCCCUUGCCUGCUGUGCCCUAUACCACCCCCGAAUUUGUGGGGAUGGGGGCACUAGGCAGAAUGCCCUCCUGUGGAUUUCGGCGCUCCUGGACGCUGCCUUUGAUCCGCACCUCUAGCUGCAAGAACUUCAAAAGGAACAAUUAGGAAGAAGCGAAUGCACAUAUUUCAAGGAAGGAGGGGGAGUAAAGACUGCUAACGGAAGAGAUCUCUGAUAAACAAGACGAGUCGGAGGAACAAGAAUCAAUCAUGAGAAGAUAUGCCAAGACUCGGUAUGGCAAAGGGACUGGAUGGAGAAGGGGGGAAAAACUUUCCUUUCUUUCCUCUAUGUGAUUAAUCAAGAAUCCCCCCCCCCCUCACAAGUCAGAAAUGCUGUUUUAAUGACUUAAGCUGUGGAUUUACGACUGUGUGGAGAUGAAUUUUCUAACCAAAGCAUGUUUUAAGAAGAGCGUGGUAAAGUUUAAGAGCUUUGGAAUGACGCAGUUAAAAAUACCGUCACCAUGUUGGCAAGCUCUGUCGGAGGACUUGAGUCUGUGAGGAGGAAAAGAGAGGUUUUUAUACUGUGAGUAAGACUCCUCAGUGGGACUUAAGAACGACAGAUCCUGAGAUUAAUGAUGGAAAGAGCGAUGUUAUUUAUGAAAGUGAUGAUAUAUGGAAACCAUCUCGAUAUGAGGAUUGGACGAACGGAAAAAUCCACACAGGAUAUAAUUGGUGUUUAUCUGCUUAAGGAGAUUAUCAGAAGAGAUCAUAAAGAAAAAAAGAAAAAAUAUACGAACAAGAUGAGAUGUGGAAACAGUAAGAGCUGUUCGACAGUGGAAUUUGCUGCCAAGGAGUGUGGUGGAGUCUCCUUCUUUGGAGGUCUUUAAGCAGAGGCUUGACAACCAUAUGUCAGGAGUGCUCUGAUGGUUUUUCCUGCUUGGCAGGGGGUUGGACUCGAUGGCCCUUGUGGUCUCUUCCAACUCUAUGAUUCUAUGAUUCUAUGAUUCUAUAAGACUGGAUAGAAUUAUGAACUUUAUUUGGACUGAUUUGGAUAUUAACGCAGUAGCAAGAAGAUGAUCAGAAUCCCCCUUCGGAUCUUGAAAUAUGGGUCCCCUCAACAAAAAUUUAAAAUUUGGCUUUGUAAUUCGGAAUUUAUGUGAUGUGAUUUGAUUUGAUUGGUCGGUUAAUAAAAAUUAUUUAAAAAAAGAAACAAAGUUGGGAAAACACCAACUAGGAUUUGGAAAGGAGGCGUGAGGACUCUAGGACCCUGCCAGAGACUUGCACCUUCUUCAGCAAACCCCACCUUGGGUUGGACGUUGGACCACCCCAGACUAGAUGAUCCUCAGCAUCCCUUCCAAUUCUAUGAUUGUGUGAUUCUAUUGUUCCGCUUUUGUUAUCUUCUUUGGUGAUGCAUAGUUGGAAGAGCUUUGGGAUAAGAGCAAAGAUGACUCCAGCAGUUAAAUUUAUUGAGGCAAAAGUGAGCACAUGCAUACUCCAAGUAGCAACGAAGGACGAACAAAUCUGUCUGUUUUGGUUUCUCACAGUAGUUCAACUUUCAGAUCUUUAUUUCAGUUCUCUACAUUUCUGUAUCAGUUUACUUUUUAAAGAUAAAGAGAAAAAGAAAGCCAUCACAAAAAUUCAUCGGCAUUUUAGUGUGCACUUCUGAUAUUGAUGAUGAAAAAUUAUAUCCUGUCCUUUCUCCCAAAGGAGCACAAGGUGGCAUUUUUGCCCAAUAUAUCAUCAUCAUCAUCACCAUCAUCAUUAAAUUUAUUAUCCACCCUUCACUAAGUCCCAUGGCAGGUUACAGCCAUUCAGCACUUAAAAAAACAGUUACAACAGAUUGCAAUCACAGGAAUAGGGUGUGCCCUGAAAACACACAUCUCAGAUGUCAAAGGCCAGGGAAAAGAAGUGUCUUCAGCAUUCAUCAAAAGCUACAUAACAGCGAAGAAUUCAGAAGCACCUCUGUUGGGGAGGAAAUUCCACAGCUUGGCAGCAUAUACACAUCUUUCCCAAUAUGCGUUUUUGUAUGUUAUUUUCACUUACACACGGACUUCUAUGCACACUUUCCCCUAAUGCAUGCAUUUUUUGUACACAUUUUUCCUUUGGAGAUGUGCAUUGCAAAAUUUGGAGAAGUGCAAAUUUCAAAGAGCUGUGUUUCAGUUUUCAUAUUGUUUCAGGGACCGUGACUUAGGCAGGUCUGCGUUUUAAGCUGGAUUUCUCCCCAGGCCUAGUAGCAACACCAGUGAAGUGAUUCGCCUGUGAGGUGCAACCUCUGUGGUAUUUUCUGGCACACUUCAGCAGACCGCUUCCUAUUUAACAGGAAUGGGAAAGGCAUGCACACUGCUUGAUCCUCGGGGAGAAGGAGCUGACUCAGCUGCCUUGAGGGAAAUCAAGCUCAUGGAUAGCAUUUACAAGGUUAAACACUGGAGGAAGCAAAGGCCUAAUAUUAACAGACAUCUUAGUCAACAAACAUCAGCUGGUUUAAGGAGUAGCAAUGAACUUUUCUCCCAUUGGGUGAGUCAGCACCCUCCCUCCUUCAUAAUUUAUUAAGAUAUUUGCAGUGUAAUUGACAGGGACAUAUGCCAGCAAUUCAAAUUGUGACUCAGUUCUCAGUCUUGCACCACUCCCACCCCUCUUGCGCUAAGUGGCCUGUUUAUUUUUAUAAAACAAAAUUAUAAAGCACCCAAUGUACAUAUAUUGAAUUAAACAUUCACAUGUUGUUGCAUAUAUAUUUUAAGGCAUGAAUUUUCAAACGUUGCAGGGGGUGAUGAGGGACUAGAAGUCGACCUGUGAUGACACAAGUGCUAGCCAAUCACCCCUCUGCACAACUAGCUUCUGGUGCUGACAUUCCUGUUUACCCAGCCAUUCGAUGACUGAAAUAUACUGGCCAUGGCAACUGUAAAACUAAGAACUGUGAGGGUAUGUGAUUGGGGGUUUUAAAAAUGUUUUUAUAUGUUCUAUGUGCUUUUGGGAGGCAUUUUAUUGAUUUUGCUUUUUUAAAAAAAUAGAUUUUUAUUUGGUUAAAUUGAACUCUUUUAACAUUCUGGUGUUUGCUGCCUUCGGCUCCUUUGAGAGGUAGGAUUCCAUGGUGGAAAUGAGAGUUUGGCAACCCUUCCUUCCAAAGUGAGGAAAGCCUGGCAGCACAGCUUACUCUAUGGUCUUAACUAUAGAAUUCUCAAUUUGGAAUAUAAAGGGGUGAGACAAUCUAUUCUGGCAUAAAUCAGCAUGUAGGUUAUAUGGGGCUGAUUUAUCCCAGAAUAGAUUGUCUCACCCCUUUAUAUUCCAGAUCGAGAACUGCAAGAGGGGGUCUGCAAGAGAGGGUCUUAUACAGAUACCAUCUUAUCAGGAGGUCUGUUCCAUAUGAAAUAGGAUUCAGGCCUUUAGCAUGGGGACAUCUUCACUUUGAAACUCCCUCCCAUUACACAUCAGACAGGCACCAUCUCUCGUGAUGUUCUGGCACCUGUUGAAGACCUUCCAUUUUCUACAAACCUUUUAAGUGGCACAAGACAUUUUGGCACCUGAGGUGAAUCUCAAAAUGUUAUGCCCCCCCCCCCCCACACACACACCAGCAAAGAAGGAGUGAGUAAAAAUCUACAUCAGGAACAAUGAGGGAAUAAAGAUCUACAAGGGUGAGAGGAGACCACCAGCACAUCCUAUUCACCAAGAGGCCACUGUAGAGGUGGUAUUGGGGGCUGCCAAGGAGGUAGCAGAUUUGGGCCAUGUAGACCUACCUGAAGCAUCUAGUAGUGCCUGAUGCAAGGUAUCUGCCACGAGAGUAUUCCCAAAGGUGGCUGUGCAGCUCCUGUCUGAAGGCCUCCAGUGUAGAAGAGCCUUCCGUCCCUAUAGGUCAUUGGCCCCACCGUGUAAAUACUCUUACUGUCAUUCAUUUGAUAAAAAAUAAAGUCCAUCUAGAAGUACUUGUUCCUGGUAAGCCCCACAGGAAGAUUCACCAAACCUGCUUAUAUUUUGCCUGCUUCCCUGAAUGUGUUGAUUGUUCCUAAGGCUGCAACAUUUAGUCAAUACAGUGGUACCUCGAGUUAAGUACUUAAUUUGUUCUGGAGGUCCAUUCUUAACCUGAAACUGUUCUUAACCUGAGGUACCACUUUAGCUAAUGGGGCCUCCUGCUGCUGCCGCGCCGCCUCUGCAUGAUUUCUGUUCUCAUCCUGAAGCAAAGUUCUUAACCCAAGGUAAUAUUUCUGGGUUAGCGGAGUCUGUAACCUGAAGCGUCUGUAACCUGAAGCAUCUGUAACCUGAGGUACCACUGUAUAUUGGUUGGAUCAAUUAAUUGCAAACAAUGUGGUUGACUAAGACGUCCCCUGAUUCAUUGGGUAUCUGGUUUUUAAUUUUUGGAAAACUUCUUAUUUUUAUUAUGAGCACUUAUUACAAGCAGACACCAUCUUAAAAAGAAGUAUUCCUUCCUGUAUGUGGGAGAAAGGGGGUGGGGGUGGGGAAACCUGCAGGCGAGACCCUAAUUAUUACAGAGGCACAGAUGCAAUUUCUAGAAGCUUAUCUUCACAAAUUAUUGUGCAAGCCACUUCAUGAGCCUGUGCCAGAAGUGAAAUGUGAGAAUUAAGUGAAAUCCAGAGCAGAUGAGAAGAUGAGCUGUGAGCCUGGAAAUCCUUAGCUGCAAACUCAUUAGGGCUUUACAUGCAACCUCCCUUCAUAUGUUACUUAACAAGUAAGAAGAGGAACAGGAUUACAUCCCUGACCCUGCCCUACAAGUUUGGUGGUUAGGCAUUGGAAUAUUGCUGGAGAAGAGAAGAGGAGAGGUAGCGCCAUCACCUCCCCCACACAUUGAAGGGUAUUCCAUUAGAGGAUUCCGGUGUGUGUGGCCCUGUCCGAAGCCUGGGGAGGCUAGGGCCUAAGGCAUGACCCCUAUCAGUGGCCCAGGGAGAGCUCCUAGUUGAUGUGCCUCAGCAAGACUCCCCCUACUGGUGGUUAACCCUUCCCGGACUCCAUGCAGAUGGGCGGGAGUCAGAUAUAGUCGUGUGGUUAGGUCCAAUGCCUAAGCCAAUACCGCUCACAAUCUGUAACCAAUAAAGUUGUGGCCUUUUUUAGCCCAUUAACC
rnacentral:lncRNA from 1 species